CCGCGGGGCGCGGAGCGUGGCUGCCCCCGGCCCCCGCCCCGCCGCCGCCGCCCCCCGCCGUUCAGGGAGUCGCGACCGCCGCCGAGCACCGUGUGUUCGCACAGGAGGAGAAGAAGAAGGAAGGGGCAAGGAAGAGGAAAAGAAGAGGAUUUAUUUACCCGACCUACUUUGGAUCUCUCUUUUUUCCUGCGUGUGCCAUUAUUAUUCCCGUCCUCUAUUUUUACACUUCGCCGUGAAUUCGUCUCCUCUGCGAAUUUAGUCACAUCCGAUUUUUUUUUUUUUUUUUUUUUUUUUUUUUUUUUUUUUU